AAAAAAAACAUCAAAAUCAAGGGAAGAAGUUAAUUUGACAGACGCUCCAAAAUCAUAGCCGUUAUAGCAAGUGAGAGAAAACCUCCAUUGUUGAAUUCUCUGUUUUCUUCCAUGGCGGAUUUCUCUUUUACAAUGAAAAGAGAGUGCAGGGACUAGAGUUUUCUUUUCGGAUAUCGACAAGAUUCAUCAGCCAACAAUCCAAUUUCAGUCUUUUCUCACUGAAAUUGUCACACCCACAGGCCUAAAAUCACACGUUAAGGGGAGAAGAAAGAGCAGGACCCUUCAAUUCAAUGAACAUAAAUGGAGUAUGAAAGAAUCGACAAGAGAAAUCUACAGAUAAAUUGACUGUGUGAGCUUGUUUAUUUUGAAUGGUCAGUAACAAUGGGGGUUGUAAAGGUCUAUGUAGAGGUAUUUGGAGACGAAAGAGCAAAGGAAGCGGCUUUGACGGACUUGAAGUCAAAAGCAAAAUCUGUGAGUACGACUGACUCCUGAUAUUCGUUUCAUUGACGAUGAGUCCGAGGAUGCAGGGUUGUGAAGGUCUAUGUCUCCGUAUUUGGAGCCGAAAGAGGAAAGGAAGUGGCUUUGACGGGCUUGAAGUCAAAAGCAAAAUAUAUGAGUGAGCUAGGGAGGCGAAUGAAGUUGCGACUAACUCCUGAGAUUUGUUUCAUUGAAGAUGAGUCCCUUGAACGAGGAAGCAGGUAUGGAUUAAAAGAGCAGGCUGAAAAUUACAUGGAAGAUCAGGGGCAAUUGUUGCUCUUAUUCAUGAAUAGUUUCAAGGUUGGACUUGGUGAAACAUCUCCAGAUAAUAUUGAAAUUGAUGAACAUGUUCCUGUGGCUUCUACUUCAUCUCAUAACACACAAAAUAGUAAAAGAGGCCCUUGAUGCAUCAUUAGCGGCUGGACAGGCAAGAGGCAAGUUUCAACGCCAAGAAAAACUUGAGUUAGAUUAAUAAGUUUAAAAUAGUGAAAAUGUGCAAGUAACAAGAAAAGUUGAACAAAAUAAUACAUGAAAUAAAUUUUGGUUGGAACCAAAAAGAGUUGAGAGUUUAAUAAGCUAACAACACUAACGAUUUAAAGAUUAGAGGAAGUGGGGUACAGAUAGGCAGAGAGAUAUGAAUAGAAAGUCUGCCUGCACUAUUAAAAAUCAAACGAUAAAUCCUUCUGACAACCUAUUACCUUAGGCUGCCAGAACCUGUGUGUUGCAUAUUUGAUUGUUUUCUGGAAAGUAAUAUGCUCAUUCUUCUGUUUGUUCUGCAACUUGAUCCCUGACCAUGGUCUUGUCCUGCACUGUUCUCAUCUUUGAGAAAUGCUAAACUUUUCGCUAUACCUAUACUGUAUCCAGUCUUAUUGUGUCAAACCUUUGCUUAUUCUGGUUAAUUGAUAACACGUAUAGAUAUAUUUGAGAAUUGUGAAUCCAAUAGCUUUUACUCUUAUCCUGAAGUUGAUUGAUAAGUAGAUAGCACACUUUUUGUUCAUUCCAAUUGCUUUCUGCAUCUUAGCAUUUAACAUAUGAGAAAUGGUUGAUAAAAGGUAAAAUCUAUAUUGUUAUUUUGUAGUAAUAUGCGAGUCGUGAUAUCCGUUUCAUUUGAAAUCUCCGAGUUAUCAGAUCGUAAGCCUCAUGACUCACCAAGAUUCUAAUGCACCCUUAACUGGUGUUUUUUAUGAUGUUUCGUUGUUCUGUUUUUUUUUUUUGCAGCCAAGAUGCGGCUAGUGAACCAUUGUAAUCGACUCUUCAGGCACAACUUGUGUUUCAUCCGCAACCAGUACUUGGUUGAUCACAGGAUUCGAGUUCUCAUUAGCUCCACCCUCCAGAGCUUAAGUCAUCUGAACAUAAGUAUGUUCAAGAAAUGUGCUUUUUAGCUCAUUGCUUGGCUAAAUUUGUGUUCUGCAUCAGGGGAAAUAGAUUUAAGGUUUAUGACACACGAAAGGAAGUGUUGUCACUUUGAACAUCUCCAUCCUCGCGUUUCCUGUAACGUUGCAGAUGCGAAGCUACAAUUUAGUAUAUAUUUCCUUUGGUUAGUGUCAAUUUUGUUGAAAAUUUGGUACAAGUUGGUUAAAACAUAUGCUUGUGUAUAAUUUCUCUGCUUACUGUAGAAAUUUUUGAAUAUUUAUUUAGUUUCCGGGCAUUUCGUUUCAAUGUGUUCUAGUACAGGCGGAUGCGAGAUUGAUCAGGUUUAUGGACAAGUCUCAUUAGUUUCCGACAAUCAGCUUUCUGAAAAUGUCUCGACGGAUGAUGUUGAUCGGAAACAGGAAUCAAGAGGUUGAUUUGUGAACUUACCAAAAAAUAAAGCUCCGAAGAUCUCCAGCUGAUUAGAUGACAACUUGUCUUUAAAUUGCUUAGAAAAGAAAAAUACUAGUUUGAACUUACUGCAGGACACUUGCAAUACAAGAGAAGCAUGUCAUUGUAAUGACUUAAGCUAGGUUGAACUUCCUACUUCAUUCCCUGUAGCAUGUCAUUGUUCUUAAUUGUAUGAUCAUGAAUA